ACAGCCAAGCUCAUGAAAUGGAUCAAACGGAAAUGACGUUGGCGUUUAAACAAAUUUAAAAUGACUUGCACUGAUAUCAGUUUACAACAUUAGGGGAAGGGAGGGUAAGCCCGCCACUGACGAUAAGACCGGCACCCCCUGAGUUUUACUAGAAAACUCUGAUUAACUACGUUUUUGAAUACUCUACAUGAUAGUAUUUAUUAUUUUAGACCUUUUCAAUCACAUCGAACCCACCGUGAUCCGUCAAUUGUCAAAAUAUAAAUCAAAACAAACGCGAGUGCCGAUGAUAUGUAGCCGGAUGUAAUUUUCCGUCAGUGAAGUUUAAGCUUUUAUUGUUGAACGCGGUUUCAAAUUCUUUUCCGUUGCUCUACAGUUUGUCCCCUGGAUUGUUAGCAAUCACUGGGAUUCGAGUUGAGAUGCCUCGCAGCUACCGAAGAAAAACGAAUCGAGGAAGUUGGUCCCAGGGAAACCUCACCCUUGCCAAAGAGGCUAUUGUUAGUGGAGUUUCUAUCAAACGUGCUUCCACGACUUUUGAACUACUGAUGUAAAUUUAAUGUUGGAUUUAAGCUGUUCGAUAAAAUUAAAUGAACUUCAUCAUUGAACGAAAAAUAAUGGCUGUAUGGUCUUAAUAAAAAUAAUAAACUAAUUACAACUAAACAUAA